rnacentral:tRNA from 1 species
GCCCACGUAGCUCAACGGAAGAGCGCAGGUUCUUUGAACCUGUGAUGCUGGUCCGACUCCAGCCGUGGGCA